AAAGCGCACGUAGGCGGACCGGAAAGUCAGAGGUGAAAUCCCAGGGCUCAACCUUGGAACUGCCUUUGAAACUCCUGGUCUUGAGGUCGAGAGAGGUGAGUGGAAUUCCGAGUGUAGAGGUGAAAUUCGUAGAUAUUCGGAGGAACACCAGUGGCGAAGGCGGCUCACUGGCUCGAUACUGACGCUGAGGUGCGAAAGCGUGGGGAGCAAACAGGAUUAGAUACCCCAGU
rnacentral:rRNA from 1 species